AUGGCUGCAUUUCAUUGUGCAGCACGGAUUCAUCUUGUGCUCUCCAGGAGAUACCCUCUGCUCGGCACAUUUCUGCUUCAUGGGGAUGAAGGAAAAAGCUUGGGAGGAUGGUAUGUGAGGGAGAAUGGAAAAUACACGCUGGAAUACUGCCCUGAAGACUCGAUCCAAAACUUCUCUACAUCUUUCUUCCUGACACUAACUGGACACCUCCUAUCGGUUCUUGUUUAAAAGAUUUUGUCGGCGUUGGGAACAGAAGCAACUGAUCCAUCCAUCCAGCCAUUCCUGCCAUAUACAGCUGUUCUUUCCUUUCCAACCUUCCAAAACCACUCUGAUCUAAAUGUUUCAUUAAAAAAAAUAUGAGUCAUCAGUCACAGCUCUUCUAGUAAGGAGGAGAUGGAUACCCCAACAAGAGGUACAAAAUCUCCUUGUAUUCCUUUUGACACAGCGUGUCUGUUGCGCUUCCUGUAAUAACCUCUCUCUCUCUGCACCUACCUAUUCUCCUUUCUGUGUCUUUCUUCUUCUCCAUCCUCU
rnacentral:lncRNA from 1 species